rnacentral:rRNA from 1 species
GCAGCUGGCUCUCCGGAGUAUGUGCUCGCCUCGCUCAUCCACUCUACACCUGUGCACUAUCUGUGGGCUUCGGCCUACGUCUUCACACAAACAAUAUGUAUCAGAAUGUAAUACCGCGUCUAACGCAAUAAUACAACUUUCAACAACGGAUCUCUUGGCUCUCGCAUCGAUGAAGAACGCAGCGAAAUGCGAUAAGUAAUGUGAAUUGCAGAAUUCAGUGAAUCAUCGAAUCUUUGAACGCACCUUGCGCUCCUUGGUAUUCCGAGGAGCAUGCCUGUUUGAGCGUCGUGAAUCUCUCAACCCACAAAUUGUUUGUUCAGUUUGUGCGGCUUGGACUUGGAGGCAUUGCUGGCGAUGGUCAGCUCCUCUUAAAUGUAUUAGCUGGGCUUAGCUCGGUGGAACGGUUAGUGUGAUAAUUAUCUGCGCUGCCUACUACAUCGGAUCCCGCUUCUAAUCGUCCGCAAGGACAAUUCACUUUGAAUCUGACCUCAAAUCAGGUAGGACUACCCGCUGAACUUAAGCAUAUCAAUAAG